rnacentral:rRNA from 1 species
UACGUAGGGUGCAAGCGUUAAUCGGAAUUACUGGGCGUAAAGCGUGCGCAGGCGGUUUUGUAAGUCUGUCGUGAAAUCCCCGGGCUCAACCUGGGAAUGGCGAUGGAGACUGCAAGGCUAGAGUUUGGCAGAGGGGGGUAGAAUUCCACGUGUAGCAGUGAAAAUGCGUAGAUAUGUGGAGGAACACCGAUGGCGAAGGCAGCCCCCUGGGUCAAAACUGACGCUCAUGCACGAAAAGCGUGGGGGAGCAAAACAGGG